AUUUUUUUAUUAAAAAGAAAUAAUAAAAAAAACAAAAUCUUCUUCCGCAAAUAAUUAAUUAAUAAUUAAAAUCAUUUAGUCUUAUGGCAAAAAGUAUCUGAAACGUCAUAUGACAGUAGAUUCGAUUCUAUAAUAGAAUUGUAAAAAUGUUUUCGGCUCCACAUCCAAGCGCAGGUAUUUCGUGCUACAUUUAAAGUUCCACCGUCGAGUAAGUGAUAAGCUUCUACGAAGAAGGUCACAGAUUGUAAAACAACAAAAAUGCAUCUUGCAUUUCGAGAUAUAUAAUAAUAAUAAUAAUCGUUGGCGCAACAAUCCAUAUUGCCCCCUUAAUUACCAAAAACAAUCUUUUUACCUGCAAAUUCUCUGCUACAUAAUUCAACACUUUAGAUAGAUAUUUUAUUCAGUCUUAAAGUCUUUAAAAAAAGCUAACGUCAUUCAUGGUAGCACGACCUCAUUUUCCACUGGUUUAAAAAAAUCAAUCUUUUACCCGAAGACUGACGUUGUAUAUGUGAUACGUUCGCUGGCAGAUCUAUCUGCCUCUUUUCCUCCAUUUUUAUCUCCACUUGACAAUUUAGCCGGUCUUUCUUUGCAUCUAAAUACACAGCUUAGUAUGUAUGUAUACGCGAUUCUGUUCGACUGUUUAGUUGUAUGAAGCGCUGAGUUUUCGCUUUCGAUAACCUGAUGUAUCUGAGAACUUUUGUUGCCGCCGUAAUAGCUUUGCAUGGCUUUAUGAUGUGCUAUGAAGUAUGUAGUUUGGUACUUUUCUAGUAUUUCUAGUUAUCGCAUUAAUAACAGUGCCGACCAUUUAUUAUUUAUAGAUGCACGAAGGGGCGAGGGAAUCAUGGUAAAAUGCUCUCACUCAAAUUUUUCCACAUUUCCAGUUGAAUGUACAAACUUCAAAUUUUAACUGACGAUCGCCGGUAACUGUCCAAAUAAUCAAACUAAAGUGAUAAAUGAAUCGGAUUACGAAUGUUGGAAGCUUCAUGCACAAAGGCGAUUGCGAUUUAACUGCGAGGUGUGAGAGUAAGGUCACUGUGGAUGCAAAACUGUAAUAGACCCCCCCUUCCUUUUAUAUGACGAGUUUGUUCUGUGUUGGGCAUCGCCCUCUUGCAUUACUAACUGAAUUUGCCACGAGCGUUGAGCAUUAUUUAACAAGCAUACAGAAGUUUCAAAUUAAAUUAGACAUAAAAUUUUAUAGCAAAGUAGUUAUUUUAUUUAAUCUAAUGUAUUCUUUUGUAAAUGAAUAAUAAUAUAUUGAAAAUAAAAGUGCUUCCAAAUGGUU